rnacentral:rRNA from 1 species
GGGGAAUAUUGCACAAUGGGGGGAACCCUGAUGCAGCCAUGCCGCGUGUGUGAAGAAGGCCUUCGGGUUGUAAAGCACUUUCAGUGGUGAGGAAAAGUUAGUAGUUAAUACCUGCUAGCCGUGACGUUAGCCACACGAAGAAGCACCGGCUAACUCCGUGCCAGCAGCCGCGGUAAUACGGAGGGUGCGAGCGUUAAUCGGAAUUACUGGGCGUAAAGCGCACGCAGGCGGUUUGUUCAAGUCUAGAUGUGAAAGCCCCGCGCUCAACGUGGGAUGGUCAUUUAGAACUGGCAGACUAGAGUCUUGGAGAGGGGAGUGGAAUUUCUGGUGUAGCGGUGAAAUGCGUAGAGAUCAGAAGGAACAUCAAUGGCGAAGGCAGCCUCCCUGGCCAAGAGACUGACGCUCAUGUGCGAAAGUGUGGGUAGCGAACAGGAUUAGAUACCCUGGUAGUCCACACCGUAAACGCUGUCUACUAGCUGUAUGUGUAUUUAAUACGUGAGUAGCGAAGCUAACGCGCUAAGUAGACCGCCUGGGGA